GUAUAUUUUUGUUAACUCCAAAGGACAGACUUUCAGGGCAGUUUACCAGGAGACAGCUUUUACAAUGAGUGCACUGGCAAGAGGAAGGAAAAAGCCAUUUUUGCUGCUUCAUGUGUUGCCUACACAGAGACUGUUACAGUGGCUUCAGCAGAGUCAGUGGUUGUGUCAACAGCAUCUGGAGCAGAGAGGGCAAGCUUAGUUCAUAUGAAGCAGCAAUAGCAACAGAAGAAAAGGCAGUGACAUCACCCUCAGCUUGUUGGAGAAAAGCAAGAGUGGACUAACAUACAUCCUGUGCCUGGAAAAGCCACAGACACUCAAUGCCAGCCUGGGAGAGCAGCUGUGGUGGCUGAACCCUGAAAAAUC
rnacentral:lncRNA from 10 species